UGGGAAUUUCUGCCUAGAUUUCAGCAGAUGUAUGGAAAUGCCUAGAUUCCCAGGCAAAAGUUUGCUGCAGGGGCGGGGCGCUCAUAGAGAACCUCUUCUAGGGCAAUGUGAAAGGAAAUGUGGGGUUGGAUACCCCACGUAGAGUCCCUACUGCAGCACUGCCUAGUGGAGCUGUGAGAAGAGGACUACCGUCCUUCAGAUCCCAGAAUGGUAGAUUCCCCGAUAGCUUGCACUUUGCACCUGGAAAAGCUGCAGACACUCAAAGCCAGCCGUUAAAGCAGCCAGGAGGGAGACUGUACCCUGCAGAGCCACAGGGGCGGAGCUGCCCAAGACCGUGGGAACCCACCUCUUGCAUCAGCGUGACCUGAAUGUGAGACCUGGAGAAAAAGGAGAUAAUUUUGGAGCUUUAAAAUUUGACUGCCCCACUGGAUUUUGGACUUGCAUGGGCCCUGUAACCCCUUUUUUGGGGCCAAUUUCUCCCAUUUGAAAUGGCUGUUGUGUCUAGGAAGUAACUAGCUUGUUUUUGAUUUUACAGGCUCAUAGGUAGAAGGGACUUGCAUCGUCUCAGAGACUUUGGACUUCAGGCUUUUGGGUUAAUGCAGAAAUGAGUUAAGACUUAACGGUGAUUGUUGGGAAGGCAGUACCCCAGGGAGAGGUAAUUGAAUCAUGAGGGCCGGUCUUUCCUGUGCUGUUCUCCUGAUAGUGAAUAAGUCUCGCGAGAUCUGAUGGGUUUAUCAGGGGUUUCCGCUAUUGUUUCGUCCUCAUUUUCUCUUGCUGCUACCAUGGAAGAAGCGACUUUCGCCUCCCGCCGUGAUUCUGAGGCCUUUCCAGCCAUGUCAAACUCAAAAUGUGACUGAAAAACAGAAGCAUUUGGAAUACGUAACAGAAGUCAUUAAAAAGAGCCAUGUAAUAUGUGCCUGCUUCCCCUUCUGCCAUGAUUGUAAGUUUCCUGAUGCCUUCUCAGCCAUGCAGAACUGAGAUGUCCCAGUUUCUUAAUUCACGGAAUAAAAAAAAUCAAGCCAUCUUAUUCUGUCAUGAUACCCUUAUCUUCUUUCAGCCGUAUUACAAGUGUUUCCACAUAUUCCAAAUCCCCAUGGGGUGAAGGAAUAAAAGAAGAAAGUCACUCCAUAUAUUUCAGG
rnacentral:lncRNA from 1 species